UACAGAGGGUGCGAGCGUUAAUCGGAAUUACUGGGCGUAAAGCGCGCGUAGGCGGCUUUGCAAGUCGGGUGUGAAAUCCCCAGGCUUAACCUGGGAACUGCAUUCGAGACUGCAUUGCUAGAGUAUGGGAGAGGGAAGUGGAAUUUCCGGUGUAGCGGUGAAAUGUGUAGAGAUCGGGAGGAACACCGGUGGCGAAGGCGGGUCUCUGGGCAUCUCCUGACGCUGAGGCGCGAAAGCGUGGGGAGCGAACGGG
rnacentral:rRNA from 1 species